rnacentral:rRNA from 1 species
GAUGAACGCUAGCGGGAGGCCUAAUACAUGCAAGUCGAGCGGUAGAGUGACUUCGGUUGCUUGAGAGCGGCGCACGGGUGAGUAACGCGUACAUGACCUACCUUUAAGACUGGGAUAGCCCUGGGAAACUGGGAUUAAUACCGGAUGUGAUAAUACGUAUAGAGAUGUAUUAUUAAAGUUGAGGCGCUUAGAGAUGGAUGUGCGUCUGAUUAGCUAGUUGGUAGGGUAACGGCCUACCAAGGCGACGAUCAGUAGGGGGCGUGAGAGCGUGGCCCCCCACACGGGUACUGAGACACGGACCCGACUCCUACGGGAGGCAGCAGUAAGGAAUAUUGGUCAAUGGACGGAAGUCUGAACCAGCCAUCCCGCGUGCAGGAUGACUGCCCUAUGGGUUGUAAACUGCUUUUAGCAGAGACGAAACGCCUUCAUUUAUGAGGGUCUGACGGUAUCUGCAGAAUAAGCACCGGCUAACUCCGUGCCAGCAGCCGCGGUAAAACG